GAAAUACCUGCAUACGAGUAUGGGGAAUGUAUAUUCUGGGAGUAAUGAUCGUCCUCGGUAAGCUUAGCCAAAAUUAAAUCAAUUGCCCGCAUCUGCUCCUCGAAGGUUCCAGAUAAUGUCACUAGCCUAUCACUCAAGCCAUAGUAGGUAUUAUCCAGAGGGGAUAUCUUAAUCCCAGCUUUAGACUCCUCAAUGAAUGACCUGUCUCAAAAGAAAGAAAACGGUUAGUACUACUGAAAAAUUUGAUACCCCAGACUAACACUAAUACUUCAAACUGAGUCAUCUCUAAUAUUCAGGACCUCUUUACACCUUAUAUAGGAUCUUAACUUGUUUAUGCAUGCAUUCAGAGAAAAUACUUGCUCUCUUAAAAUGAAUCAGAGAAAAUUUGAACACG